CGCUGGCGGCGUGCCUAACACAUGCAAGUCGAACGAGAAAGUGGAGCAAUCCAUGAGUAAAGUGGCGACCGGGUGAGUAACACGUGACUAACCUACCUCCGAGUGGGGAAUAACUCCGGGAAACCGGGGCUAAUACCGCAUAACAUCGCAAGAUCAAAGCAGCAAUGCGCUUGGAGAGGGGGUCGCGGCUGAUUAGCUAGUUGGCGGGGUAACGGCCCACCAAGGCGAAGAUCGGUAUCCGGCCUGAGAGGGCGCACGGACACACUGGAACUGAAACACGGUCCAGACUCCUACGGGAGGCAGCAGUGGGGAAUUUUGCGCAAUGGGGGAAACCCUGACGCAGCAACGCCGCGUGGAGGAUGAAGCCCUUUGGGGCGUAAACUCCUUUCGACUCGGACGAUAAUGACGGUACGAGUGGAAGAAGCACCGGCUAACUCUGUGCCAGCAGCCGCGGUAAUACAGAGGGUGCGAGCGUNGUUCGGAAUUAUUGGGCGUAAAGGGCGCGUA
rnacentral:rRNA from 1 species